GCCUCAGUGGUCGAGUUGGUAAGACACCCGCCUAGUGAGCAGGGAAGUCCAGGUUCAAACCCUGGCUGAGGUA